rnacentral:lncRNA from 1 species
CUCUCAUAAGGACUAUCCUGGUCAAGGUUUUACUGAAUUGAAAUACAAUGUAGCACUAACUCUUGAAACCAAGAGAGGUCAAUUCUAUCUUGAUGCACACACCGACUUAAUAAGUACUUGAUUAUACUCAAAAAUCUUUCAUCACUGAAUUAAAAAUUCAGAUAGUUCGAUAUAAAAGUACAGUGAGUUGCUUGCAAGUCACCGUGAUAAUC